AUUCUACAAUUAGUGUGAAUUAAAGUAGAAGAGCCUAGAGUAUUAAAAGUAGAUAAAGGAUGACUAAAUCUCUAUUAGUACUUUAAAUAAGUAGAACGGGCUAUAAACCUGUUUGAAUGUUAAGGGGAACCUUCCUCUAAGGCUAAAUAUAAUAUAUAAGCGACAGCGUAUAGUUCUGUGAAGGAAAGGUUUGAAUUAGUAGUUUUAUAAGCAGCUCAAGCAAAGUUUAAAUACAUAGUGAGAGCGUACCUUUUGCAUAAUGGGUCAGUAAGUUAAUAUUAGAUGCGAGCAGCAAUGCCUAGAUAAACCAAUUAUGAAAUAAUGAAUUAGUAUCUAAAAUUAGACCCGAAGCCUGGUGAUCUUACCAUAGUCAGGGUUAUAAAAGCCCGAACGGGUUAUCGUUGUAAAGAUAUCCGAUGAACCGUGGUAAGUUAGUGAAAGACAAAACUGACCAGGAUAGCUGGUUUUCUGCGAAACCUAUAGAAGUAGGUAAUUUAAGUUACAUCAUAGCAGGUACAGAACUGUGAUCUCAGGCAACUUUAAUAGAUAACAUAUUUAUUUGUGUUAUUUAUUAUUUUUGUAUAUAUCGGGGGAUCGUGAAGAUUUUAUCGGUGAGUAUUCGCACUCGGAAGGGCAAUGAUGAAUAUUAAAUAAUCAGACAUAGUACGCUAAGGUUGUAUGUCUAAAGGGAAACAGCCCAGAACAAGAGUUAAGGUUCCAAAAUUAAUAUUAAGUGAAAUUAAGGAAGUUUCUAUCUAAUACGACUAGGAAAUAGGCUUAGAAGCGGCCAUUUUUUGAAGACCUCGUAACAGAGCACUGGUUCAGUAAAUAGUUUACUAUUUACAUUGAUAGUGGCACCGAAAAUUUAACGGAUCUAAAUAAUAUACCGACACCUUGUCCAUAUUAAAACAUAAUAUUAUAUAAUAUGGGGUAGCGGAACGUUGGGUAAAUUUUAGACUAUUUCUUAAAAAGAUUUAGUAAUAAAUGACCCAAGUGACAAUGCUGACAUGAGUAACGAAAAAGGGGGGUAUACCCCCCUCGCCUAAAGCUUAUGGAUUUUUUAAAGUAACGGCCUCUAAGUUUAUAAACCUAAAGGAUUAAACGAUGAGAAAAUCUUGUCUACAAAGUAACAACCUUUUAUAAGAAAAGUUAAUAAAUUUUUCUUAAGUGAAUAAGGUUCUGGAAAAACAGUAAAAACCUUUAGUAAAUAUCUUAAAAAUAUUAACUAUAAGGCGACAUAAUAACCGUACCUAGAGUCUACCACAAGUAAGCAAGUAGAGUAUACGAAGGCGUUUGAGUGAACAAUCAUUAAGGAACUCGGCAAACUAACUACCGUAACUUAGGGAUAAGGAGAGCCAUUCCUCCUGAUUAAUAUCAGGUAAAGAAUAGGAAGCAUGGAAUAGUGUUGUACGACUGUUUAAUUAAAACAAAGCACUCUGCAGUAAGAUAAUAAAUCAAAGUAUUGAGUGUGAUUUCUGCCCGAUGUCGGCUGGUUAACGGAUUUGUUAAGUUGACUAAUAUAAGCUUGACUUUGAAGGAAACCCCGAUCAAUGGCGGCCUUAUUUUGAGGGUCCUAAGGUAGCGGAAUACCCUGGCCGUUAAAUGCGGUCUUGCAUGAAUGAUUUAACGAUACAACAGCUGUCUCAAUGAUUGGCUCAGUGAAAUUGGAAUAACUGUGCAGAUACAGUUUACCUCUAGUUAGACGAGAAGACCCUAUGCAGCUUUACUGUUGCUAGUUAUUGGAUAUGAUUGAAUUAAUUUUAGUAGUAUAAGGUAAUUGGUAAGAUAAAAUUGAAAUACCUUUAUUUUGUUUGUCAUAUUGAUAGAUUUAUUCUAUUUUCUUAUCUAAAGAUAAGAGAUUACCCCUACUAUGUUAGGGGAACAAUGGCUAGGAGGCAGUUUAUGCGGGGCACAGAUCCCAUAAAAAGUACCUGGGUGUAUCCAAAGUUAAUUUUGUAAAAUUGACAUGACUUACUUCUAAAUAUAUUAUUUGGAAAUAAGUUUUCAUGAC
rnacentral:ncRNA from 1 species